rnacentral:rRNA from 1 species
UACGUAGGGGGCAAGCGUUAUCCGGAUUUACUGGGUGUAAAGGGAGCGUAGACGGCGAUGCAAGUCUGAAGUGAAAGCCCGGGGCUCAACCCCGGGACUGCUUUGGAAACUGUAUGGCUGGAGUGCUGGAGAGGCAAGCGGAAUUCCUAGUGUAGCGGUGAAAUGCGCAGAUAUUAGGAAGAACACCAGUGGCGAAGGCGGCUUGCUGGACAGUAACUGACGUUGAGGCUCGAAAGCGUGGGGAGCAAACAGG